rnacentral:rRNA from 1 species
UCCGGUAGGGCUUCCCCGAGCGGGGGCCGUCCGGUCGCACGCAGCGCCGUCGCACCCGACGCAUUUGUCUCUCGUCCGAAGGACGCCGCAGCCGGCUGGGUAGUGCAAGCGCGACGACCUGAGGGGCGGAAGAUGGCAGGUGGCCGCUGGCGUGCCUCGUGCGCGUCGGCGGUUGUUAGCCGUUCCGUCGGUGGUCCGUCACCCGGCCGAGGUGUCGCGAGGCCCUUCGGGGCCUCAUCGCCUCCUCCUUUGAGUCGCGGGUCAGAGUGUCGCAGGUGGAAUCCGUCGUCCCGUUCGCACCCCUCCGGGGUGGUCGGGCGAACGGAGGCCUCCGUUGGUGGCGCCGGACCCGUUGGAGGCUGGAGGCUUGCGGCGAGUAGGUCGGUCACCCACCCGACCCGUCUUGAAA